UCCUGGCUCAGAUUGAACGCUGGCGGCAGGCUUAACACAUGCAAGUCGAGCGGAGAUGAGGUGCUUGCACCUUAUCUUAGCGGCGGACGGGUGAGUAAUGCUUAGGAAUCUGCCUAUUAGUGGGGGACAACAUUCCGAAAGGGAUGCUAAUACCGCAUACGUCCUACGGGAGAAAGCAGGGGAUCUUCGGACCUUGCGCUAAUAGAUGAGCCUAAGUCGGAUUAGCUAGUUGGUGGGGUAAAGGCCUACCAAGGCGACGAUCUGUAGCGGGUCUGAGAGGAUGAUCCGCCACACUGGGACUGAGACACGGCCCAGACUCCUACGGGAGGCAGCAGUGGGGAAUAUUGGACAAUGGGGGGAACCCUGAUCCAGCCAUGCCGCGUGUGUGAAGAAGGCCUUAUGGUUGUAAAGCACUUUAAGUGAGGAGGAGGCUACUGAGACUAAUACUCUUGGAUAGUGGACGUUACUCGCAGAAUAAGCACCGGCUAACUCUGUGCCAGCAGCCGCGGUAAUACAGAGGGUGCGAGCGUUAAUCGGAUUUACUGGGCGUAAAGCGUGCGUAGGCGGCUUUUUAAGUCGGAUGUGAAAUCCCCGAGCUUAACUUGGGAAUUGCAUUCGAUUCUGGGAAGCUAGAGUACGGGAGAGGAUGGUAGAAUUCCAGGUGUAGCGGUGAAAUGCGUAGAGAUCUGGAGGAAUACCGAUGGCGAAGGCAGCCAUCUGGCCUAAUACUGACGCUGAGGUACGAAAGCAUGGGGAGCAAACAGGAUUAGAUACCCUGGUAGUCCAUGCCGUAAACGAUGUCUACUAGCCGUUGGGGCCUUUGAGGCUUUAGUGGCGCAGCUAACGCGAUAAGUAGACCGCCUGGGGAGUACGGUCGCAAGACUAAAACUCAAAUGAAUUGACGGG
rnacentral:rRNA from 1 species